rnacentral:lncRNA from 1 species
GGGGAGUGAAGACUGCCACAUUUGUGAAUGGAUAAGGCCAAUCCCACUGAAAAGCUCAUGCAUACAGGCACCCAGGAAGAAGUUGGUUAUAUUUCAAAGCAAAACAGCAUUCAGGAUUUCAGGAGGAUCCUAUACUUCUAUACUAUGAAAGACAUCAGCUGUACAAGUUCUUCUAACUGAAAUGCUACUGAUUGGAGUCUCAAUGUGGAUAUAAAAGUAAUCUAUCAGGUCCUGUCUUCUCUCCCCAUAGCUCUGGAAUCAUGAAAAUUCUAGUUGCUUGCUCAGCCUGACUCUGCUACCAAAGCCCUUUCUAAUCUUAGCCAGGGAGAAUUUAAGGUGUUUAGUACAACCUAAUGAAAAUCACUAUGACACUAUUUUUCCUGCUAGUCAUUCAUUUCUUCAUUAAAUAAUAAUUCAGAAGAGGAUUAACUGUCUGCCAAGAAUGCCAGGUGCUUUGGAUACAGACAUGACUAACACAAGUAGAGAUAUAGCAUGUGCUGACAGCAUAUAGAUAAGGUUCUGACCCAGGUUGAGAGGGGAAGAGAGAAUUUAAUGCUAAGGAAGUGGCAUAUAAGAUGAAAUCCAAAAGAUGAGAGAGAAUUAAUACUCCCAGGGGCAGAAAGAAGACCACAGCUAGGAAAGACGAGAGAGAAGAGAGAAAAAGGGAGGGAGGGAGAGAAGAAAGAAGGAAGGGAGGAAGAAAGAGAAAGAAAGGAAGGAAGAGUGUGAGGGAGGAAGGAAUGUAGAAGGAAGGAGGGAGGAAGAAAGAGAGUGCAGGGAGAAGGAGGAGAAGAAAGAAAAGAAGGAAGAAAAGCACUAUAUGCAAUAGCCCUAAGACCAGAAGGAAAUAACCCAUUCUAGAAAUCUGAGGCAGAUGGGUGUAGCUGACUCUUAUAGAACAAGUGAAAAU